CUUCUACUCGUCACACUCACACUAAACUAGAGAGCUACUCAAGAAAAUAAAUGCCUCUUCUUCUUGCUCUCGUCGUCCUCGUCUCCGUCCCAAUGGAGUUGAGCGCCGUCACCUGUCGCACUGCCGCUGCUCCAGUUGCAGCCUGGGCGCCAUUUGGGCGUCCAAGGGAGCAGACGACGAAGCGAACAAGCCUCACAGACAGGCGAGGCGGCCGGCCGGCGAGCAGCUCGCGUUGAGCCCUCUCGCACCACUACAUACGCUGUUGCAUGCUUUGCUGCGAGCUGUGCGCGCGGAGCAUGGAGAUGCAUGGAGGCGGCAGAGGUGGUGGGUGUGAGCGCGUACGUGGGGAAUUGAGGCGUCAUGGUCCGAGAUAUAUACAUGUCUCUCUUGCUAGGUACCUUAGAUUAUUCUUAGAUUAUUCUUAGUUCUGUUGUUAGUACGUACUUCGUCCGACGAUCCUGGAAUAUUGUGUUUUAUUUCAUUGCUAGCUCUCUUGUUUCUGUUUCAUAUUUCCUGCCUUUUUUCCCCCUCUGGUAUUAAGAUUUAAGAAGCUGUAAGUGACGCAUCCUUUGGUGUGGAGAGCUCGUUCUGUGAUGUUUGGGCAUCGUUCCCAACAGUCUUCUCGAGCAGUAUUUCUAGUAUAUAUCUAUAUAUGAUAUAUUUA